rnacentral:rRNA from 1 species
GACGAACGCUAGCGGCGUGCUUAACACAUGCAAGUCGAACGGAAAGGCCCUGCUUUUGUGGGGUGCUCGAGUGGCGAACGGGUGAGUAACACGUGAGUAACUUGCCCUUGACUUUGGGAUAACUUCAGGAAACUGGGGCUAAUACCGGAUAGGAGCUCCUGCUGCAUGGUGGGGGUUGGAAAGUUUCGGCGGUUGGGGAUGGACUCGCGGCUUAUCAGCUUGUUGGUGGGGUAGUGGCUUACCAAGGCUUUGACGGGUAGCCGGCCUGAGAGGGUGACCGGCCACAUUGGGACUGAGAUACGGCCCAGACUCCUACGGGAGGCAGCAGUGGGGGAUAUUGCACAAUGGGCGGAAGCCUGAUGCAGCAACGCCGCGUGCGGGAUGACGGCCUUCGGGUUGUAAACCGCUUUCGCCUGUGACGAAGCGUGAGUGACGGUAAUGGGUAAAGAAGCACCGGCUAACUACGUG